AGUGAACGCUGGCGGUAGGCCUAACACAUGCAAGUCGAACGGCAGCACAGGAGAGCUUGCUCUCUGGGUGGCGAGUGGCGGACGGGUGAGGAAUACAUCGGAAUCUACUCUGUCGUGGGGGAUAACGUAGGGAAACUUACGCUAAUACCGCAUACGACCUACGGGUGAAAGCAGGGGACCUUCGGGCCUUGCGCGAUUGAAUGAGCCGAUGUCGGAUGAGCUAGUUGGCGGGGUAAAGGCCCACCAAGGCGACGAUCCGUAGCUGGUCUGAGAGGAUGAUCAGCCACACUGGAACUGAGACACGGUCCAGACUCCUACGGGAUGCAGCAGUGGGGAAUAUUGGACAAUGGGCGCAAGCCUGAUCCAGCCAUACCGCGUGGGUGAAGAAGGCCUUCGGGUUGUAAAGCCCUUUUGUUGGGAAAGAAAUCCAGCUGGCUAAUACCCGGUUGGGAUGACGGUACCCAAAGAAUAAGCACCGGCUAACUUCGUGCCAGCAGCCGCAGUAA
rnacentral:rRNA from 1 species